rnacentral:tRNA from 1 species
GUCCAAGUAAUUUAAUAAAAAUACUGGCCUUGUAAGCCAAUAAUGAAGGAAAACCCCUUCCUAGGACA